ACUUCAAAAUAUCACAACUACAGAAAAAUCCAUCAGUUUAUAUGCAUCAGAAGCAACUACAGGUAUUUCUUACCAAUGGAUACCUGUAUGGUUAUCUGGAUCGUCUGGGACAUUAGCCACCAGUAUUGACUAGGUUUAAGUCAAUACUGCUACGUGUAACUUCAAAAAAGAUAUGUUGAAAUGAAACUUUUGAACUUUUCCUACA